rnacentral:rRNA from 1 species
UACGUAGGGGGCAAGCGUUGUCCGGAUCUAUUGGGCGUAAAGAGCGUGUAGGCGGCCAUACAGGUCCGUUGUGAAAACUGGAGGCUUAACCUCCAGACGUCGAUGGAAACCGUAUGGCUAGAGUCCGGAAGAGGAGAGUGGAAUUCCUGGUGUAGCGGUGAAAUGCGCAGAUAUCAGGAAGAACACCCGUGGCGAAGGCGGCUCUCUGGGACGGUACUGACGCUGAGACGCGAAAGCGUGGGGAGCGAACAGG